rnacentral:rRNA from 1 species
GCCGGCAGCUAGAUCUCUGCAAAUCUCACAUUGUCGACCACUGAAGCUAAGCAGGGCUGCACCCGGUCAGUACCUGGAUGGGAGACCAAGUGAAAAAGCUAGGUUGCUGUUAGAA